rnacentral:rRNA from 1 species
AUGAACGCUGGCGGCGCAUUUAAGACAUGCAAGUCGAACGAAAACGAACAAAUUAAGAAGAGUGGAAGAUUUAUCUGAAAUGAUUUUUAGACCGUGAGUUUUAGUGGCGGACGGGUGAGUAAUACAUAGAUAAUCUACCUUUUAGAGGGAAAUAACUAGGAGAAAUCCAAGCUAAUGUCCCAUAAGACCACAUUACCGCAUGAUAAAGAGGUCAAAGGAGAAAUCCGCUAGAAGAUGAGUCUAUGGCUGAUUAGUUAGUUGGUGGGGUAAGAGCUUACCAAGACAAUGAUCAGUAGCCGAGCUGAGAGGCUGGCCGGCCACAUUGGGACUGAGACACGGCCCAGACUCCUACGGGAGGCAGCAGUUGGGAAUAUUGGACAAUGGAGGGAACUCUGAUCCAGUGACGCCGCGUGAAGGAAGAAGGUCUUCGGAUUGUAAACUUAUUUUAUCAGGGAAGAAAUAAAUGACAGUACCUGAAGAAGAAGGACCGGCUAACUACGUGCCAGCAGCCGCGGUAAUACGUAGGGUCCGAGCGUUAUCCGGAUUUACUGGGUGUAAAGGGCGAGUAGACGGAACUGCAAGUCAGAUGUGAAAUGCUAGAGCUCAACUUUAGAACUGCAUCUGAAACUGUGGAACUAGAGUGCAGGAGAGGUAAGCGGAAUUCCUAGUGUAGCGGUGAAAUGCGUAGAUAUUAGGAGGAACACCAGUGGCGAAGGCGGCUUACUGGACUGUAACUGACGUUGAGGCGCGAAAGUGUGGGGAGCAAACAGGAUUAGAUACCCUGGUAGUCCACACUGUAAACGAUGGAUACUAGGUGUAGGCAUGAAUGUGUCUGUGCCGUCGCAAACGCAGUAAGUAUCCCACCUGGGGAGUACGGCCGCAAGGUUGAAACUCAAAGGAAUUGACGGGGGCCCGCACAAGCAGUGGAGUAUGUGGUUUAAUUCGACGCAACGCGAAGAACCUUACCAGGUCUUGACAUCCUUUGACCACUCUAGAGAUAGAGCUUCCCCUUCGGGGGCAAAGUGACAGGUGGUGCAUGGUUGUCGUCAGCUCGUGUCGUGAGAUGUUGGGUUAAGUCCCGCAACGAGCGCAACCCUCGUGAUUAGUUGCCUUGAAGAAAGGAACUCUAAUCAGACUGCCGUAGUUAAUACGGAGGAAGGUGAGGAUGAUGUCAAAUCAUCACGUCCCUUAUGUCUUGGGCUACACACGUACUACAGUGGGUGUUACAAAGAGAAGCGAAACCGUAAGGUGGAGCAAAACUGAAAAAAGCAUCCCUAGUUCGGAUUGUAGGCUGCAACCCGCCUACAUGAAGCUGGAAUUGCUAGUAAUCAUAGGUCAGCAUACUAUGGUGAAUACGUUCCCGGGCCUUGUACACACCGCCCGUCACACCAUGAGAGUUGAGAAUACCCGAAGUCCAUGUAAAAGUGGCCGAAGGUAGGCUUGAUGAUUGGGGUG